rnacentral:tRNA from 1 species
GUGGCUCAGUGGUAGAGCACUUACCUGACAUGCAUGAGACCUUGGGUUCAAUCCCUAGC